GGUGACCUAGCGGUUAGAGCGUCCGCCUUGGAUGCGGGAGGUCGUGGGUUCGAACCCCAGGACCA